GGGGACUCAAAAAGGUGGGGAGUUUGUGCAAGAAAGGGAGUGACAGACCUGCCCCCAGCCUGAGGCUUGCUGAGCUGCCUGAGAUCACCUUGUCUCAGUGGAGUGUGGGGAGAGAAGUGUCUGGAGUGAGACUGACAAGCAUCCCAAAGUAUCGGAAAGUAGAUUACAUGACAGCUGGAGUCUUCCACGUAUCCAGAGACUGUGAAGGUGGGAGGCUUGCUGGGGCUGCCUGAGACUCAGGUCAAGCACGAGAGAAGAGGUGGGAGCAGCCUGCAUUGGCAUGGACUGGCCGAGCAAGGAUGCCUGAGUCCCCAUGGGCCAAGUGGAUGGUCCAGAGGACUGUCAGGUGUGAGCCCUCUGGAGGGACAUCUCCCAAGAGGUAGCCUGUAGAGCUGAUGAGAAUCCAAUGACAAAAACAAACGAACAAACAAACAACAACAAAAAAAAAAAACAGAGACGUACAGGAGCUAAGGAGGGAGUUUUACAAGACAAUGCACUGCUAGUGACAGGGACAGUGAGUGCCGGGUGUGGGUUUCCCCCUGGGAGAGGAGGAGGCAGAGGGACAUCACCAAAGAACACACAGACAUGUCCUGUGGAACAGACAGGACUUGGGGGAUGCCCACUUCAGCAGAAGGCACCAGUAGCCAGAUUAAAACAGCACAACCAAUCAUGCGAGUCUUUGCCCCUUUCCCCUCUGCCCCCAACUUGGAGGAGCUGGGGACGGGAGGGGAGAAAGACAUGAAGAGCGAGCGAAGGAAGAGUGAAGACCAGCCCUCUCUCCCAUUCCCUGUCACCGGUCCUCAAGCCACAGGCGGGCCUGAGGUCAGGCAGAGAAAGAGUGCUCAACUGCAUGGGAGUUAGAAGUUUCGAUUCAGACUGGCCUAAGCUGUUUAAUACCUGAACCGGAGACCGUUUUGUAUAGCUGGAAGUAACCAGAAAGCUGAGGUAUCUUCUAAGAUAUCAUCAAGGAGGGGAAAAAGAUAUCCAGAAAAGCAUGUCUGAAGGCAGCACUGGAAGAAAAAUGAAGCUGUUUCUGGUUUGUUCCCUACCAAGGUGAAACCAGAGAGAGCUUGACCUCAAUGUGGGUACCGACGGUCUAAUUUCCUGAUGCUUGGAGGAGGACAUGUAAGAGGGACCGCUGGACUCUGCAGAGGGAGAAGGAUGCGCUGAGACAUUCCAUUCCAACUCUCUCACAAAGCUACACAUGAAUCCCUCAGAGCUAGGCAAGACCUGGUUGUGCAUUUCUUCCUCCUACCCAUCUCCUUGAAAUCAGCCCAGUCUAGAUUCAGAGACGUGUGCUGAAACACCCAGAAGUGCAGCUGCAAACCCGGAAGCGCCAGCACCAGAGGAGCCCAGGCCUUCAGCUGACUUCUCAGGCAUGCCCCUCCUGCAUGCCCUCCCUGCCACCCCAGCCCUCCCCCAACCACCUACACGCGGGACCAGCUCCCACUCCACGGAUUCCCAGGCCCCCUGCCCUGGCGGGGCAUGCUCCCAUCUUUCUGGUUUGUACCCUUCUCAGUGCUCUACAUCCCACUGGAGGAAACCACCUAGUCUCUGGCUUUUAACCACCUUCUGUCUCGUACUUCCAUGUAUCCUUGACUGCAAGCGAUCUCUUUUUUCACGGUUUUGAAUAAGUGUCCCAGCUAACUUAUGUUGGCUUUUAAGCACAGACUCUACAGGCCUCUGUGUUAUCCUUCCCUUUCACAGUAUCGUGAAGUGUAAGAGGUGGAAGGGGCCUUGCGUAGUUCCAUUUUACAAUGAGACACACCGAGGUCCUGAGAGGAAAUGCAAUCUGUCCUAGGUGGAGACGACUUUAGUUUGUACUGAAGACAGAGGACCAGUGGCCUGUGCCCUAACAGAGGCUGGCAAAGCUUGGCCUUUGUGUGGAUCCUGAAGCUCCAAUUCCCUGAUGCUUAAGGGAGUGCGUGCAGGAGGUACUGCUGCACCUAGCAGGGAGAAUAAUGUGCUGCACAGCUACUGGCCUGGACUCCAGCCUCCACCUUCUGGCUUCAGUGCUUAGCAUUUCUUCAUGAUUCUCUUCUCUUGGUCUCUCCACUAUUUGAGUCAAUCCCAGAAUCCCUUAGUCCAAGUCUGGUGCUGAUGCUACUGGUACCCAAUACAUUGGUGAAAGAAAACAGAGGCCUAUCACCAAACAGACUGAGGAUUUCUUGUUUGCUACAUAAUCAUGGCUUUGUUUUGUGCCAGCUGGGAUUCACAACUUCAAAAAUAUGCUUGUGCAGAUUUCAGCUCUGUCCUAUAUCCCUCCAACCGCUCUGUUUUUUCCUAUCAGUUCAGGCCCUCAAUAUGUCCUCUUUAGCUAUCUGCUCUAGCUUCAUAUGCUAGCCUGGUCACUCUUCCAAAGACCCAGCUCUGAGCAUGUCCCCUUCUCUAAAACCUUUAGUGGCUCCCCAUUAUCUACUGAUCUCCUUCAGCGGGUAUUAUCCCUCUCUGUACCAGCUGCAAAUGUCUUUCUAGCUAUGCCUUAUCUGGCAACUCCCUCCACUGGGCUUCUUAUACCCACCAUGCAGCCAGCCUGUCUCUGCUCCCUCCACACGCCUUAAGCUUCCCUGAUGCAUUGUGUUUGCCUAGACUGUCUCCUUGGCUUGGAAUGGCCUCCUCUCUCUCCCAAGCCUGCAGAAAUGCUACCGACUUCUCAGGAGCUAUCACAAAUGCUACCUUUCCAUGAAGCCUUCUUACUCAACCCACGUGGUGCCUCAGACGUCUUUGUUUUCUCUCUCUCAUCUCACUCACCUAACUCUGCUUUGCUUUACAACUAUUGAGAACCACGUCUCCACUGGGCUGUGAGUUGGAGGGCAGGGACUUGGCCUUUUCCAACUUGGUAUUUGCUGCUACCUGUAGGAGAGGCUGCAUGGUGAGCAUUUGUUAAACGAAUGAAUUCUUUACAGUGCUGUCAUUGCAAGGGUGUCUCUGGGUUGUCAAGGUUCAUAUGAAUAAUUAAGGCUAUAAUAAUCCAUCUCUGGAUUAUUAAAAUGAACCCAGUCUCUGAUAGCCUGCCUUCCACAGAGCCUUCCUCUAACAACUCUUUACCCCAGGCAGAAUUUCCUUCUGGGAGCUUGAGGCUUUGAUUACAGAAAAGCACCCUGGGAGGCCAGACCUAGAAACAUGUUUAUCAGUCUCUCACAUUUGCAGUUUGCCUGAAGACAGCUCUGAAAGUGGGUUGCGUGGGGGUUAAGAGUUGGAGGUAGGGGCCGGGAGACAGCCCCCCUCCAAACUAGCCUGAGUGCUUGCAGAUGUUAAAAGCAGCCAGCAUUUCAUAAGUGGGCAUGGCGUCCGUUCCCAUCAAGCCUUUCUUUCUCCUGGGCCCUGUGAGUCUGGAAUAACCAACCAGGCUGCCACAGAUUCCUGUGAUGCUUCCUGGAAGUGAAUGCUGCUGAUUCUCACAUUUUAGACAUUAUUCUAUUUUUAUUGUUAUUUUUAUUUUUUGAGACAGAGUCUCAUUCUGUCGUCCAGGCUGUAGUGUAGCUGGGAUUACCGGCAUCCACCACCACGCCCAGCUAAUUUUUGUAGUUUUAGUAGGGACGGGGUUUCUCCAUGUUGGCCAGGCUGGCCUCAAACUCCUGACCUCAGGUGAUCCACCCGCCUCGGCCUCCUGAAGUGCUGGGAUUACAGGUGUGAGCCACUGCACCUGGCCACAUUUUAGACUUUAAAAAAUGAUAUCCACCAGUCCUUUCACUACCCUGCAGAACUUUUUAUCCUUUCCACCACCAGUGGUGCACAGGGCCAGAUCAUGCUGGAUUUUUCCACCUGAGUCAAUAAAGGCUCUUUGAGCUUCCACUGGUGUGGACCUUGUGGAGGAUGCCAACACAUGAUUCACAUCUGCCCAGAGCACGCAGACUCAGAAGGCCAGACCGUAGGAGCAAAAAGGACCGUGAAGGGCACCAGGCCCUACCGCUUCAUUCGCAGACCUGGAAACUGGCUGGCGUGAGACGUGGAACCAUCAGGCCCCUCUGCAGGACUGCUUGUGAGCCGGGGGUGGAUGGGCAAUCACUGUUGGUUUUCGAUGAGGAAUUGCAGGGGUAGGCCCCUGGAGCCAGAUCCUUUUCCCUUCUGGCCCGGGAGGCACACAGGUGUGCAGCGUGUGCCAUUUGGCUGAAUGGAGCAAGUAGGAGCUGAAAUCCAGUUCAUGCUCCUUUUUUUUUGUUUGUUUUCCUUUGAGACAAAGUCUUGCUCUGUCUCCAGGCUGGAGUGCAGUGGCAUGGUCUCUGCUCACUGCAACCUCCACCUUCCAGGUUCAAGC
rnacentral:lncRNA from 10 species